rnacentral:rRNA from 1 species
GAUGAACGCUGGCGGCGUGCCUAAUACAUGCAAGUCGAGCGAACGGACGAGAAGCUUGCUUCUCUGAUGUUAGCGGCGGACGGGUGAGUAACACGUGGAUAACCUACCUAUAAGACUGGGAUACCUUCGGGAAACCGGAGCUAAUACCGGAUAAUAUUUUGAACCGCAUGGUUCAAAAGUGAAAGACGGUCUUGCUGUCACUUAUAGCUGGAUACGCGCUGCAUUAGCUAGUUGGUAAGGUAACGGCUUACCAAAGCAACGAUGCAUAGCCGACCUGAAAGGGUGAACGGCCAAACGGGAAGUGAGGAUCAGUCCCGACUCCGACGGGGGGCAACAGGAGAGAAUCUUACGGAAUGGGCGAAAGCGUGACAUAGCAACGCCGGCUGAAGGAUGAAGGUCUUCUGAUCGUUAAACUAUGUUAAUAGGGAAGAACAAAUGUUUAAGUAACUGGGAACAUAUUGACGGUACCUAAUCAGAAAGCCACGGCUAACUACGUG